GAAAUGCGAUACGUAGUGUGAAUUGCAGACUCACGUGAACCAUCGAAUCUUUGAACGCAUAUUGCGCUCGAUCCUUCGGGAGAGAGCACGUCUGCCUGAGCGACGGUUUUCCCCCUCUACCCCCCUUUUAGGGUUGUGUAGGACCUGGCCGUCUGGCUACCUCUGGUAGCUGGUCAGCUGAAGUGCAGUGGCUUUCCACGGUGCUCCUAUACCAAAAGGACCCAACUAGGUAGGCUGGUCGGUUCGCCGAUAGCUCCUAACGUUGUCGUCCUGGGAGUUCUGUUGGAUCGUCUCGCAGGAAAACACUUAUCUUUUCGUCCUCAGUUUAGGCGAGAUUACCCGCUGAACUUAAGC
rnacentral:misc_RNA from 1 species